rnacentral:tRNA from 1 species
GGAUUGUGGCUCAGUGGUGGAGUGCUCACCUACCACCUGUGAGGUCCUAGGUUCGAUCCUCAGCACCA